UCAAGGUCACCUGUGCAAAGAACAAGCUGUACACGCAAUUCGUGAAAGCACCCGUAUCCGACUGGGCUCGGGACAACGUCAUGCUCAGGAAAGUGCAUGAUUCUUUCACGACCAUUGGCGAUGCUUCCCCUGUACAGUAGACCUAACCUGGUGUCUGCACUGUGGGGAUGGAGCUGUAUUUCUAAUGUAUUCAGUACCGCCCGGGCACGAGUUCAGAGCACGCGGAGCCUAUUUGAGCCUUUUAGUUGGAGAGUAGAGAGGAGCGGGGAGCUGUAUAGGGAGAUGAAGACACUCUAAUAGUCUCUCAAGAUCAAUAUUGAUAUGUAGCAUCAUUGUUGUUACCUUGUAAGUACAGAAAGCAGAAGCAUUAUGCCGGCUCGUGUUCUUCAAAGCUCUUCAACGUAUCCUAGAGAAUCCUGCCUGCUAAGUAUGCUUUGGCUGAUAUCGCGUGGCUGAUACCGCCUCUGCAAUGCUCUGCACUUUAGGACCAUCACCUGGUGUCACAAGUAAGUGGCGAUUGUUUCAGGAAAGUCAAUGAUGGCCUGUUAUUCUACCAAUCCUCUGUUUUUUCUGUGGUUAUGACGUAGUUCGAGGCAUGUAUAGCCUAGUUGAGGUGACGAGGCCAGCGUAAACAGUGCUGUUC
rnacentral:lncRNA from 1 species